rnacentral:rRNA from 1 species
UAACACGUGGGUAACCUGCCUUAUAGUGGGGGAUAGCCUUUCGAAAGGAAGAUUAAUACCGCAUAAGAUUGUAGUAUCGCAUGAUAUAGCAAUUAAAGGAGCAAUCCGCUAUAAGAUGGACCCGCGUCGCAUUAGCUAGUUGGUGAGGUAAUGGCUCACCAAGGCGACGAUGCGUAGCCGACCUGAGAGGGUGAUCGGCCACAUUGGGGCUGAGACACGGCCCAGACUCCUACGGGAGGCAGCAUG